rnacentral:snoRNA from 1 species
AGGCCAUGGUGUGGACAUCUCCAGAGCAAAUCUUUAUACAUCUCCCAAGCUUCAUAUAAAGACUUGGAAUCCAAUUGCGUGAAAGAGAUGAUGUAAUUUCUCAUCUU